GGAAUGUUACGCAGAACUCUUGUCCUCCCCCCUGCUUGUUGUGGCAGAGAUUUAUACCAUAAUCUCCUAGCAGGCUUGAAUUACAGAUAUGAGUCCUGAUAACAACUGUCUACAGGUUAAAAUUAUAAAGCAUCCAGCCCCAUCUUCUACAUGAAACCUGUCCCAACCUAACCAAUCCACAUUCAUCUCUGAAUUCUUGUGGGACUUAUGGACUACGCUGCAUCACUCAGCCUUGGAGAACUUUUCCUUCCACAUCAAAUAGUAAAGUUCAGUAAAGACAACUGUAACAUUUUCUAUUUCCAAGUUACACUUCAUACCAUAUGCUAUGAGCAUACCGUGGCAGCAACACUCUGUUUCUAAAGACAGUAGGACAAAGUCUACGCAAUGGAGCUGCAGAGAUGAAGAAGGUACACCCACCCUACCAAAGCCUUCAAAGAAGAAAAACUACUACUGAUUGAAAUGGAUGAGAGACACGGUCAAAAGUUUGAAGAGAAAUUAUUUCUCCGGUGAAAAUGCCAAGAAGGAGAGGGUGGUAGGAAAUCAAGCCUUAAAUCUCUGCUCAAAUCUCUCAGAAAGUGAUGGUAUGUUCUAUGUCACCUCAAAUACAUUACUCAACAAAUUCGGAGUUGAAAUCACUGCCAGGACUCAAAUCCAACUAUAAUCAGUGGCUACAUCUGGAAAGGCUGCAUGGAGAUGUCCUUUAAGAUGAAGAUACCUGGAUUCUACCUCCAACUUUUUUCGGAAUCUGUAGUUUCAGAGUGUCUACAUUUCCACAGCUCUCCCAGGAAGCCCUCACUAUUCACCACUCUUGCCAACAAACUUCCUUCACCUGACCGUGAGAGCUGGAGUAAAGGAAGCCACAGCUAGGUAGUUGCAUUCUUGUUCUGUUCUUUGACUACGGACUGUAUCCUUACUUCAGGCAGCUGGAUGACAAGCACCUGCAAAGAAAUCCCUUGAACAACUGGAAAAACCAUUCAAGAUUCAUACCCAAGGGAUGGAGCACGGGGAAUAAAAAGCAAGCACCAGUGAAUGAAUUCAGCAGCCACAAACAAAUUACCAGCGACAUGUACCUUCCUGAGCGGCAGAGAAUUAUGGAGGCAAUAUUGCACGAUGGGAUAUGUAAGAACAGCCUUGGAGGUUCAUGUGUGGAUGGAAACCAAUUAAGAAAAGCACUUAGGAAAAUUGCUUUCCACUGUCUGGAUGAGAAUUUAUCAUGAGAUAUGGUUUUUAAGUGAAAAACCUUACAUGUAAACCUAGACUAAGUGUUUUGUCCAUGGUGACACACCAGGGGAAACAAAAGAGAUAAAAAUAGAAUGCUUGAAACCAGCCUCCUGAUGUAAUCACCAGACAGUUUACAAGUUUAUCUGAGGAGGAAGAGGUCCUAAUGCAACGUAGAACCUUAAGAGAGAGAUGUCAGCACAAGAAUUGCAGCAGCCAACUGACUGGGAACAAUAGAAAUGGAACUGAUUGCUUCGUAAAGAGUGAUACAAUUUUACCAAUGACACAGCAAAAGAAAACAAUUGCAAUCCUAUCUAUCAUAAAAGAAAAAGCAUUUUCUCUGCUAAAAUGCUCUUUGCUAAUCAUUAGUAGUCACUAAAGGUCACACGACAUCUGACCUAUUUAAUCCUGGCAUUCUGGCUUAAGUAUAAGCAGGCAAUUUCAUUCGUAAUAUCAGCAUAUGCUGCCUCCACAUCCCUUGGGGACUAGGAAAGUAACACGGAAAAAAGAAACCUCAGUGGAAACUGUGUAGAAGAGGAAAUGAGCAGAAUUAAUUUACAGAAGUUUUAUAUAGUCAGAAGCACAUUGUAUAGAGAGGAGAAAUAUGCAAUAGGUUCUUUUAAAAGAAGAUACUUAACACAACAUUGAGAGAGAGAGAAGAAGAGAGGCAUACCUCUGCUAUAGUUAAUGGAUGGAACAUGGAGCAAGAAAAAGAAUAUAGACUUGAAAGCCAGGUUAACCUGAUCUUAGUCCUGGCUAUAUUAUACCUAUGUUACCUAGGCUAUAG
ensembl:lncRNA